rnacentral:lncRNA from 10 species
AAGAACAGAAAGACAAAACCUAGAACACUUGAAAAGAAAGUUGCAGCUAAUGAAAAGCGGACUUAUUCAGCAGAACCCCCAAGAAGAUGCAGACUAAGAAAUGCCAAUGCUUUGAUGGGUACAAGGAAGAAAUAGGACUAAGACAAGACAAAUAAUGGAGGACUUACAUGGCAGAGGUAAAUCACCCACAUCUCUUUCUCCAACUCCUUAUGCUCGAUGCUCAGCAUUGAAGCCCUUUACCCCAGGGACAAAUACAAGUUUGACAAAGCCAUCUGAGGAAAAUAAGGCAACAAGGAGAAGUGCAGAGACAAGGUGGGGAAAGCCCCUUACAAAACCAUCAGAUCUCGUGAGAACUCAUCCACAUCACAAGAACAGCAUGAAGGUAACGGCCUCCACGAUUCAAUUACCUCCCACUGGGUCCCUCCCAUGAUGUGCAGGGAUUAUGGGAACUACAGUUCAAGAUGAGGUUUGGGUGAGGACACAGCCAAGACUUUUUUCUUGGUAUAAGAAGUAAUGUUUCUUGACUGGUGUGAUGUCAAAAUUCUAAUAUAUUAGACUUUUCCAAGUUAGAAUAGCUAAACAAAUGUUUUCAGUCAUAAGCAAGUGUGUUCCAGGCAAAAAUUUGUAUUUAUGAUGCAACUGGAUUUAUGUCCCUAUGUUAGACUCCAUAAGUGAGUCAUUCUCAUAUGAAAGGUUAUUAUCUGCAAGCAGAAUAUAGCUAUCCUCAGAUUUUCAUUGUUUUCCCAUUUAUGAUUAAAUAUUUGUAUUCCAUCUUUAUCUCCCAGUUUUCAUUUUUACUGCUCCAUCUGGUGAUCAAUCAUGUCUUGUGUUUUUAAAUAGCAAUUUGUAGAGGGCUUAAAACAUGUCCAUUUUUUACACUGUCAGUAAUAAAAAAAGUAUUGCUUACAGUGUCUUCUGGGGAACACAUUCAUGUCAUGCUCAUCUGAGUCACUGAAAGAUUUAUGAAGAGGAAAAGGUUAAAGGGCAGACAUUUUUAAUGCUGAGAGUCUGAUCAAUACAAUAAGGAAUUACAUUGCUAGACCUAUUUAUUUUUUCUUUAUUCACAGAAACGGAACAAGGGGAAUGCAAUCUCACAGGAUGGAAAUAACCUGUGGUGAAUUGUUGCCAUCCAGAUCCACUUUUAAGUCCACAUGGUUCAUUCAUUUUGGACUAGAUCCUGGUACAGCCCAGUGAACUGAUAUUCUUGAAAUCAGGCACAGAGGCUCUGAAGUAAUGCAUUACAUUUGCAUCCAUGAUUUGCUUAAAAUGUUCCAUUUAGCCUUUCCUCCCAGGAAACAAAGCCAGCAGUAUUUGAUUAUUGAAUAGCUCGUUUUGGAUGCUUAGUUUGAGAAGAUUUUAUUAAGAUUAUGGGAAACUUGAAUUUUACAAAAUGAAUCAUGAGUUAUAUUUCAGUUUUGAUUUGUCUCCAAGGGUUGAAAUACAUAGAAGUCUAGGAUACAUUAUAUAUUAGCUCUAUUUUAGCAUGCAUUUAAUGCAAUCACAGGCAAAAAUCAAAUGCUUUAAAGAAAAAGAUUGCAGUUUUAGAAAUGAAGGAUGUGAAAAAGGACGAAUCUAUAUAAAUAAAAGUGAACUUAGAGUAAUAACAUGCAAUAUAGUCUAUGUAGAUAUGCAUAUUUUAAUUGUAUAUUACUAUUUGUCCCAUCACAAUAAUUGGUUUAAACAAUGGUGUAUUUAUAUGUGUAAAACAAAGUUUGGUAUGUGUGUGCACACAUAUACACACAGAAACACACACACACACUUUUCUAAUCAACUAACAUUUAAGAAAUACCACUGAAGGAAAUAUUAAUGACAGAAAGAGCUUUUCUGCACACAGAAAAGCACGCACACUCCUAUGCAGCAUACAAAUAGGUAAGAGUACAUGUUUUCCCUGAAAGAAGAGCAAGAGACCAACGGAAUAAGCCCCUUUACUGGGUUCCCAUAUGGCUGAAUGGUCUCAAUAUCUCAAUCUUUAGAACAUACCUCAGCAUCUCCACAUCUCCUCCUACCUCUGUCCUGUGUUGCUGGGACACAGGGGCAGGAAAUGGAUGCAUCCCUUCCCAUGCACGCCCAAACAGCUCCUCAACUCAAUCUCAGCCCCAUGCCUCUUCUAUUCUUCUGUGAGGAAGUGGCUUCUCAUGACCUAUCCGAGAGCUCAGCACAUGUUAAGUUCUCACACAGGCUUAAGCCAACAUAAUCGUCAACAUUAAAAAGUAACAACAUAAUAUUUGGGCGGAUGAUGUUUUCUGUUCAUAAUCAACAGUGACUUCUCAGAGUGGCCUUUUCUGACCUCUCUAUCUAAAUAGUACUUUACGUUUUCUCUAUCCCCUCCCUAAAUUACUCUGGUUCAUUUUUUGUCAAAGAAUUUUUACUGCUGAAUAGUGUCAUAGACCUAUUCAUUUAUUUAUUUUCUCACUCUUCCCAGUAAAAUAUAAGAUGCGUGGAGAAGAAGUUUGUUUUGUUCCCCUCUGCCAUAUGGGAAAGAACAGUGGUGGAAUUUAGUAGAUGCUCAAUAAAUAUUUGUUGAUUUAAUAAAAAAAUUCAUUUGUUGGGUUUCUUAAGUUGGCUUAUCCCAGAUGCAGAUCCAAAGCCGAGGAUGGAGUUGCAAGUGAUGCAUUAAGGAUGUGUUUCCAGGAGCAUCCAGAAAGGAGACAGGGACAUGGAGCAGGACAGGAAAGGCGAAGGAAGCAAGAGUUUCAUUUUAGGUGGACACAGGUAGUUCUCAUGAGAAGACCUGAGAUGUAAAUUUCAACUCUAAGUUUUUCACCUGGAAGCAAAGGAACUAUACUUCCCACCAAAAAAUACCUAAUUACUCGGAGCCCCUGAUUGGGAGGGAGGUAGUAAACUUUCCCUCCUAGUUUGUUGUUGCCACACACCUCACUUAAUUUUCUUGAACCACUUCGCUCUUUAGAUGGUGACAAUUAACUAAGUUGAGCAACUAAUGUUUCAAAAAGAUAGAGGGUCCCCUAUUUUCCUAUUAAAUAAAGCAUAUACUUUAAAGUGGCCUAAUUUUUACACAGUGUCAUCCGGUCUGUGAAGCACUGUCAUAUGUAGUACUGAUAUCCUUUGAUUCUCAAAACAACCCUUUAAGCUAGAAGUAAAAAUGUUCUUUCUUUCUCUUGCCACAUUUUGAAAAACUGAGAUCCAGAUAGGUUAAGUUUUAGUAGUUGAGCCAAGAUUAAAAAAGGAGCUUGAUUGCAGAAAUUAUUUAUGUUCUUACUGCUAUACCAAGCUGUCACACAAAGAGAUUAUUCUGCCUUUAUUUUCUUAAUCACUAAGAUUCUAAAAAUAAAAAAACUCCAGGCCAAGUAAGUGGGGAAGAAGAAAUCAAACCAGAUUAAUGAGGGAAAUGUUAACGACAGAAAGAGCUUGGAGGCUCUCCAAUCACAUUGAGCAGGGGCUGCUGAUUCCAUCUGUGCUGAAGAAUAGUGUGACACUGCGCCACCCCCAUGCUACCCGCCCCUCUGUUUAGUCCCUCAUACUUACCAUGUGAGUUGUCUUUAUUCCAUUGAAUCCUACUCUAAAUUCUGCAUUUUAAGAUUUUCAAGAUUUCACUAAUGGAAAAGAAUUUGAAAAAUAACAUUUGAAGAAUGGUAGUGGGCUUUAAUAGUCAAUGAAGAGUGAAAAGAAGUAUUUGUUUGGACAAAAACCGAAUCCAGAAAACAGCUGAUGACCUACAUACUAGCUGGAAUGACUUUGCCUUCAGGUUAUAAAAGCACUUUGUAUCUAUUUAUUUGUCUGGCUACUGUGAAAAUAAACACUUCUAUGCAAUCAAAAUCUGAACUUCUGAAAAAUAAAGUUUUUUAACACCUAAGUAUGUUGGCACUUCACAGGUAUAAAUACUGAUGUUUUUUGGAACUCUUCUUUCGUAUUUAAAUAUGAGAGGUCACAGUAAAAUGUUAACCUAUUCUUUACAAAUAAACCAAGUAUAAAGACUUUGAUAUUCAACUCGGCUGUGCAUUUAAAUGUUUUGUGCUAAAUUUCACCAAAUAUGUUUAAAAUAAUUUGACUACAUUGUUAGAAAAGGAAGAUGGUUUAAGACUAUUUCUUUAGCAAAGGAUAUUAUACAGAAG